GCUUGCUUCUCUGAUGUUAGCGGCGGACGGGUGAGUAACACGUGGAUAACCUACCUAUAAGACUGGGAUAACUUCGGGAAACCGGAGCUAAUACCGGAUAAUAUUUUGAACCGCAUGGUUCAAAAGUGAAAGACGGUCUUGCUGUCACUUAUAGAUGGAUCCGCGCUGCAUUAGCUAGUUGGUAAGGUAACGGCUUACCAAGGCAACGAUGCAUAGCCGACCUGAGAGGGUGAUCGGCCACACUGGAACUGAGACACGGUCCAGACUCCUACGGGAGGCAGCAGUAGGGAAUCUUCCGCAAUGGGCGAAAGCCUGACGGAGCAACGCCGCGUGAGUGAUGAAGGUCUUCGGAUCGUAAAACUCUGUUAUUAGGGAAGAACAUAUGUGUAAGUAACUGUGCACAUCUUGACGGUACCUAAUCAGAAAGCCACGGCUAACUACGUGCCAGCAGCCGCGGUAAUACGUAGGUGGCAAGCGUUAUCCGGAAUUAUUGGGCGUAAAGCGCGCGUAGGCGGUUUUUUAAGUCUGAUGUGAAAGCCCACGGCUCAACCGUGGAGGGUCAUUGGAAACUGGAAAACUUGAGUGCAGAAGAGGAAAGUGGAAUUCCAUGUGUAGCGGUGAAAUGCGCAGAGAUAUGGAGGAACACCAGUGGCGAAGGCGACUUUCUGGUCUGUAACUGACGCUGAUGUGCGAAAGCGUGGGGAUCAAACAGGAUUAGAUACCCUGGUAGUCCACGCCGUAAACGAUGAGUGCUAAGUGUUAGGGGGUUUCCGCCCCUUAGUGCUGCAGCUAACGCAUUAAGCACUCCGCCUGGGGAGUACGACCGCAAGGUUGAAACUCAAAGGAAUUGACGGGGACCCGCACAAGCGGUGGAGCAUGUGGUUUAAUUCGAAGCAACGCGAAGAACCUUACCAAAUCUUGACAUCCUUUGACAACUCUAGAGAUAGAGCUUUCCCCUUCGGGGGACAAAGUGACAGGUGGUGCAUGGUUGUCGUCAGCUCGUGUCGUGAGAUGUUGGGUUAAGUCCCGCAACGAGCGCAACCCUUAAGCUUAGUUGCCAUCAUUAAGUUGGGCACUCUAAGUUGACUGCCGGUGACAAACCGGAGGAAGGUGGGGAUGACGUCAAAUCAUCAUGCCCCUUAUGAUUUGGGCUACACACGUGCUACAAUGGACAAUACAAAGGGCAGCGAAACCGCGAGGUCAAGCAAAUCCCAUAAAGUUGUUCUCAGUUCGGAUUGUAGUCUGCAACUCGACUACAUGAAGCUGGAAUCGCUAGUAAUCGUAGAUCAGCAUGCUACGGUGAAUACGUUCCCGGGUCUUGUACACACCGCCCGUCACACCACGAGAGUUUGUAACACCCGAAGCCGGUGGAGUAA
rnacentral:rRNA from 1 species